rnacentral:snoRNA from 1 species
UUUUGAGUCUUGAGGAACUUGCCAUCGAUAAUCCCAGCUCUACGAGAUCUUCAAUUUGAAGGUCCGGGAAUAGAUGUUAUAAAUUUCUGACGGAGCCUAUAA